AUCAUGACAGUUUUAUUUGUAAUAUCCCCAAAUGCAAGCAAUCCAAAUGCUGAACAGGUAAACAGACAAGCAGAGUGUAGAAUAUAGAAUAUACAAUGGAAUAAACAAUUAUGAACUAGGUAUACCUGCAACGAUAUAAAUGAAUCUCAGAAUAACUAUUGAGUAGGGGAAGCCAGACUGAAGGAAAGAACGGAUGUUCCUUUUUAUGGCCGCUUAGCAUUCCAUGGUGUAUAGGUACCACAUUUUCUUCAUCCAAUCCACUGCUGAUGGGCAUCUAGGUUGAUUCCAUGUCUUUGCUAUUGUAAACAACGCUUUGAUGAACAUAUGGGUGCACGUGCCUUUUUGAUAAAAUGACUUACUUGCCUUUGGGUAUAUACCUAGUAAUGGAUUGCUGGGUCGAAUAGCAGUUCUAAGUGCUUUCAGAAAUCUCCAAACUGCCUUCCACAGUGGCUGAACUAGUUUUUAUUCCCAGCAAGUGUAUAAGGGUUCCCUCUUCCCCGCAGCCUCACAAGCAUUGGUUGUUUAUUGACUUUUUCAUAAUCGCCAUUCUGACCGGUGUGAGACGUUAUCUCAUUGUGGUCAUGUCCUUCGCAGCAACAUGGAUGGCAGCCAUUGUCCUAAGGAAUUAACCCAAGAAUGGGAAACCAAAUAACGCAUGUUCUCACUUAUAAGUGGGACCUAAACAUUGAAUACACAUAGACAUAAAGAUGGGAGCAGCAGACACUGGGGACGACUAGGGAGGGAGGGAGGCAGGGAGGGAGUGGAACAGAACGUGGGCUGAAAAACUACUACUCACUACCUGGGUGACUGGAUCAUCUGUACCCCAACCUUCAGCACCCUGCAAUAUACUCAUGAAACAAACCUGCACAUGUACCCUUUAAUCUAAAAUAAAAGUUGAAAUUGUUUUUUUAAAAAAGAGCACAUAGUAUAUUAUUCCAUUUACAUAAAAUUUUAGAAAACACAAAUGAAUGUGUUGACAAAUCAGUGGUUGCCUGGAGAAGGGGGAGUGCAGAGAGGUACAUGGGGAAUAAAUUAUAAAGGGACUGGAGGAGAUGUUUGGAGGUGGUGAAUGUGUUCACUAUGUUGAUUGCGGUGAUGAUUUCAUGGACGUACACAUCUGUAGAAACGUUGGUGUGUACAUAUGUUGUAUUCUCAAAUUGUCCACUCUGAGUACGAGCAGUGGGGAUUAAGAGGAAAAUAAUAGUAGAGAACAAAAUCAGAGCUUGGCAUGGCUCUCUGCUGGCACCGUGCAGGGUGUGAUUACAUCAGAUCUGUGCAACUCAGAUCUUGGGGAGGGGUUGGGGGGUGGAAGGUGGAGGGAGGAAGGGAGAGAAAACAGAGGGCGGGAAGAAGGGAAGGAAGUGAAGAAGGGAAUGAGGGACGGAAAGAGAGAGACAGCGAAGAGAGGAGAAAGAGUUUCAGAAUUUGGCAAAAGUCUCAAGGCUCAAGCUGGUUGUCUGAAGCCUUUCAAACCCCCAGUUUUAUCACCACAUAUGAGGGAAUAAGAAGAGGAUUCCUUCCUAAUUGCUAGCUUCUGUUAGCAGUAGCUGAUGCCAUGGCCCCUGCUGCCAGCUCUCAAUCUUCACCUGAGCCAGGUGGCACCCCUUUGAGAAAUAGGGUACUACCCCUUCACCUCCUUCACCUGCCAAUCUGGGCUUCCUCUGUGGAGGUCCCAACACCCACUGGUCUGUGUCCUCUUCUCAGAGGUCCCAGCACCAACCGCACCAGCCACAGGACUCCUCUUCUCGGUGGUACAACCAGCAGCUUCCAGGCCCAGCCACAUAUCCAGAGCUUGGGGAUCAGGUAUAGAGAGCCAAUCCCCUGGGAACCCAUGCAUUAGUCCCAGGGGGCCUCUCCUCCAAGCGCCUACAUUCUGGAAAAGCCUCAAGUUUCUACAGUCAUGAUACCUGGGAAACUCAGUGCUCCCUUUUGGAUUUUUCUUAGCCCUUCAACACCUAUGUAAAUCUGCAUGAAAUUUCCACUGUUUGAAUAGAGUGUCAUUCCCUGCUGAGCCCUAACUGAUACGCUGUGUUUCCAGUGUCCCUCAUCCACUAGACUCAGUGGUGUCAGGAAUGGUGUGGUAUUUUGUUAUAAAUUUAACUCCUUAGAUGGACACACAGAGAGCCUCGAUAAAUAUUUUUAAUCCAUCAAUGCAAGGAGUGUGGUUGUCAGAAGUCAGCUAAAAGUCCAAGUUUAAAUCUAAGCUCCGCCGUUCACAGCUUGGGUGACCUCAGCUUCUUUUUUGGAAAUGAAGUUCAUAUUUUCCGAGCACUUUUUCUGUGCCAGGUGCUUCCAAAUGUAUCUCGUUUAAUCCUCACAACAUACCUCAGAGGAAGACAUCAUUUUUACAAGUAAGGAAAUAGAGGCUCAGAGAGAUGAAGUGGUUGACCCGGGCUGUCUAUCUUGUAAAUGGUGGGCUGUGAUUCCCACACGACUGGAGUUUCUGGAGUCAGAGGCUGCCUGGAGUCAGGGGCUGCCUGACUCCAGAAACCAUUUUCUGUGCAUUUCAUGUAGCUCCACCUCAAUUGCCUUCCUUUCCUCAUCUGCAGACUGAUUAAAUAAAAUGUAUAAUUUGGAUGAAAUUUGAUAAAUAAUUCUGAAUGCAUUCUUUUUUAGAAUAAAUUAUCUGCAGUUCAGUACUUUAUUCUUACUAAUAAAUUCCAAGCAACACUCCUACUCACGGGCCUGGCCCUUCCCAUGCAUUUUCUUUUCUUGCUUUUUUUUUUUUUUUUUGAGAUGGAGUCUCGCUCUGUCACCCAUACUGAAGUGCAGUGGGGCCAUCUCGGCUCACUGCAAGCUCUGCCUCCCAGGUUCAAACAAUUCUCCUGCCUCAGCCUCCCGUGUAGCUGGGAUUACAGGGAUGUACUACCAUGUCCGGCUAAUUUUUGUAUUUUUAUUAGAGACAGGGUUUCACCAUGUUGGCCAGGCUGGUCUCGAACUCCUGACCUCAAGUGAUCUGUGCACCUCAGCCUCCCAAAGUGCUGGGAUUACAGGCAUGAGCCACCGCGCCCAGCCCCCAUACGUUUUCUCGCUGGCCAUGCUGUGCACCGUCUACUAAGUUGCCAUGGCUGCCUGGCCAUCUGACUUGUCACCCUCUCAUCCCUGACCUGACCCCAGUGUGUCUGCUUUUGCAGGGCCAAGGGGUCAGAUUCUUCUGCAGAGGACAGCCCUGUGAGGUCCAGGUUACGGACUCCUGCUCAAGCACAUGUAGGAUGCCAGCCUGAUGGUGUCUGGGUCCUUCAGUAGUAUUCAUGGCAGCCUGCUGAACUCUGCCUUCCAAGAUCCAGUUUAUAUUUUAGGGCCCCAAUGUAAAUGUUGCAAAGUCUUUCCCAUUUCCCCUGCCUCAGAACAGCAGCAUGGAAAGCCUAGAAUGGAAAAAGAGAAUGAGCCCAAACCCAGCAGCUCAGGCCAGGAGGCAUGCCUGUUCCACAUCACUCCACGUGGCUUUGUGUUUGUUGCCUCCACAUCUGUUCCAACCCAGCUAGGCUGGUGCAGAAGGAGCCCAGGGGGUCCUGCUUAUCACUGAAUUCCUUUACUGAUGCAUUGUUUUAAAGAGAAAAAAUCCCCAUGAAAGGUCCACCACAGGAACUGGGGACCUCUCAAUGAUCCCAAUAGGUAAGGAAGACUCAUUUGCAGUGAGCUCCAGGGGACCUUUCUACAACUCACAGUGACCAGUGGGAAUAGGACACACAAGGUGAUGCCAAGCCUGGCACAACAGCUGAGUACCUUGACUCGUCCCAAAUCCCAGAGUAAAUGUAGGGCACCUGAGGCAGCUGCCAAGGGACAGAUGUCCUUCAGAGCAGUUCUGGACAAGGCCCUCAUUUAUUUCUCUCUGUCACCUGCCCCUCUCUCUCUUUAAAAACCUAGGCAUUUUGUCUUCUUUUCCUCAUUUUUGUCCUACACAGGAACAUGAGAGCCACCUGGUGGAAGGUUUUAUUAGCAUGGAGGACGAGGGAGAGUUUGGCAGCUUGGCAGAGCUGCAGGUUGUGGAGAAGCAGCUGAGACAACAGCCCUGAGAGAGGAGAUCUGUGCUUCCCUGGAGCACAGGGCAGGUUGACACAUCAGCUGCGGAACAGUAUCUGGACCAGAAGCCUUUGCUCACUGUGAGAGACAGGCCGGGUCACUUACUUGCUCACCGCACAUGGGGGCUGAGUGGUGGCUGUUACAGAUCCAUGGAGGCCAGUGGUUGAGGCUCUGAAGGGGACAUGGCUGUCGCUGUGGGAG
rnacentral:lncRNA from 1 species